CCUACGGGAGGCAGCAGUGAGGAAUAUUGGUCAAUGGGCGCGAGCCUGAACCAGCCAAGUAGCGUGAAGGAUGACUGCCCUAUGGGUUGUAAACUUCUUUUAUAUGGGAAUAAAGUGCAGUAUGUAUACUGCUUUGCAUGUACCUUAUGAAUAAGGAUCGGCUAACUCCGUGCCAGCAGCCGCGGUAAUACGGAGGAUCCGAGCGUUAUCCGGAUUUAUUGGGCUUAAAGGGAGCGUAGGCGGGUUGUUAAGUCAGUGGUGAAAGUUUGCGGCUCAACCCCGGCCGGCCGUUGAAACUGGUGUGCUCGAGUUGGAGAGAAGUAUGCGGAAUUCGUGGUGUAGCGGUGAAAUGCAUAGAUAUCACGAAGAACCCCGAUUGCGAAGGCAGCAUACCGGCUCCACACUGACGCUGAGGCACGAAAGCGUGGGUAUCGAACAGGAUUAGAUACCCUUGUAGUC
rnacentral:rRNA from 1 species